rnacentral:lncRNA from 1 species
GUGUUUAUAUUUUAGGAAAAGACAAAAAGUACUGAAACGGAAAGCAUGGGGCUCGGCCCUUCCUGAUAAGAACAAAUUCAGAAGACCUGACACGUCAUCCUCACAUCCCAUCACAUCAUAUCAGCCAUCAUCAUCAUCAUCCUCCUCCCAUGUCUCGUCCAUCAUGGAUCCAUGAUAUGGCGGCCAUGGAUGGAAAAAAAAUGAGUGGAGAUUUAUCUGCUACACGCUUCCACACUGUAAGGGAGUGCAACU